CACGUAUUUAGCCGUCACUUCUUCUGUUGGUACCGUCAUUUUUUUCUUCCCAACUGAAAGCACUUUACAUUCCGAAAAACUUCAUCGUGCACACAGAAUUGCUGGAUCAGACUCUUGGUCCAUUGUCCAAUAUUCCCCACUGCUGCCUCCCGUAGGAGUAAGGGCCGUGUCUCAGUCCCCUUGUGGCCGAUCACCCUCUCAGGCCGGCUACCCAUCAUCGCCUUGGUGAGCCGUUACCUCUCCAACUAGCUAAUGGGACGCAAAGCUCUCUCACAGCGCAUAUAGCUUUCAUAAUCCUAAGAUGCCCUAAAAUCAUAAUAUCAGGUAUUAGCAUUCGUUUCCAAAUGUUGUCCCUAUCUGUGAGGCAAGUUCUUUACGCGUUACUCACCCGUCCGCCACCCAAACCGAAGUUCAAGUUGACUUGCAUGUGUUAAGCAUUCUGUCAGCGUUCAUCCUGAGCCAGGAUCAAACUCU
rnacentral:rRNA from 1 species